GCAAGUUGAGCGCUGAAGGUUGGUACUUGUACCGACUGGAUGAGCAGCCCAUUGUGUGAGUAACGCGUGGGGAAUCUGCCUUUGAGCGGGGGACUUCAUUUGGAAACGAAUGCUAAUACCGCAUAAAAACUUUAAACACAAGUUUUAAGUUUGAAAGAUGCAAUUGCAUCACUCAAAGAUGAUCCCGCGUUGUAUUAGCUAGUUGGGGAGGGAAAGGCUCACCAAGGCGAUGAUACAUAGCCGACCUGAGAGGGUGAUCGGCCACAUUGGGACUGAGACACGGCCCAAACUCCUACGGGAGGCAGCAGUAGGGAAUCUUCGGCAAUGGACGAAAGUCUGACCGAGCAACGCCGCGUGAGUGAAGAAGGUUUUCGGAUCGUAAAACUCUGUUGGUAGAGAAGAACGUUGGUGAGAGUGGAAAGCUCAUCAAGUGACGGUAACUACCCAGAAAGGGACGGCUAACUACGUGCCAGCAGCCGCGGUAAUACGUAGGUCCCGAGCGUUGUCCGGAUUUAUUGGGCGUAAAGCGAGCGCAGGUGGUUUAUUAAGUCUGGUGUAAAAGGCAGUGGCUCAACCAUUGUAUGCAUUGGAAACUGGUAGACUUGAGUGCAGGGGAGGAGAGUGGAAUUCCAUGUGUAGCGGUGAAAUGCGUAGAUAUAUGGAGGAACACCGGUGGCGAAAGCGGCUCUCUGGCCUGUAACUGACACUGAGGCUCGAAAGCGUGGGGGAG
rnacentral:rRNA from 1 species